UGGCCCAUGUUGACUCUACAAGGUGUUGAAAGUGUUCCACAGGGAUGCUGGUCCAUGUUGACUCUACAAGGUGUUGAAAGCGUUCCACAGGGAUGCUGGCCCAUGUUGACUCUACAAGGUGUCGAAAGCGUUCCACAGGGAUGCUGGCCCAUGUUGACUCUACAAGGUGUUGAAAGCGUUCCACAGGGAUACUGGCCCAUGUUGACUCUACAAGGUGUCUAAAGCGUUCCACAGGGAUGCUGGCCCAUGUUGACUCUACAAGGUGUUGAAAGCGUUCCACAGGGAUGCUGGUCCAUGUUGACUCUACAAGGUGUUGAAAGCGUUCCACAGGGAUGCUGGCCCAUGUUGACUCUACAAGGUGUUGAAAGCGUUCCACAGGGAUGCUGGCCCAUGUUGACUCUACAAGGUGUCGAAAGCGUUCCACAGGGAUGCUGGCCCAUGUUGACUCUACAAGGUGUUGAAAGCGUUCCACAGGGAUGCUGGCCCAUGUUGACUCUACAAGGUGUCGAAAGCGUUCCACAGGGAUGCUGGC